CAUUGUUUUGUAGAGGUGUAUGGCACAAGAGAUGGGAAAUGGUUUUUCCCAAUACUGUUUCUCUCUCUUGUUCCAUACAUCAUCUAGAGAACAUAAU
rfam:Lupinus angustifolius cultivar Tanjil chromosome LG01, whole genome shotgun sequence.